rnacentral:rRNA from 1 species
GACGAACGCUGGCGGCGUGCUUAACACAUGCAAGUCGAACGAUGAAGCCGGAGCUUGCUCUGGUGAAUUAGUGGCGAACGGGUGAGUAACACGUGAGUAACCUGCCCUUGACUCUGGGAUAACUGCUAGAAAUGGUAGCUAAUACCGGAUACGACCCUCGGCGGCAUCGCCAGGGGGUGGAAAGAAUUUCGGUCAAGGAUGGACUCGCGGCCUAUCAGCUAGUUGAUGAGGUAACGGCUCACCAAGGCGACGACGGGUAGCCGGCGUGAGAGGGGGACCGGCCACACUGGGACUGAGGCACGGCCCAGACUCCUACGGGAGGCAGCAGUGGGGAAUAUUGCACAAUGGGCGCAAGCCUGAUGCAGCAACGCCGCGUGAGGGAUGACGGCCUUCGGGUUGUAAACCUCUUUUAGUAGGGAAGAAGCGAAAGUGACGGUACCUGCAGAAAAAGCACCGGCUAACUACGUGCCAGCAGCCGCGGUAA